rnacentral:rRNA from 1 species
GACGAACGCUGACGGCGUGCUUUAGACAUGCAAGUCGAACGAGAAAGCCCUUCGGGGUUAGUAAAGUGGCGAACGGGUGAGUAACACGUGGGCAAUCUGCCCUUCGUUGGGGGACAACCGGGGGAAACCCCGGCUAAUACCCCGUAAGCUUGUCGGGUCGCAUGGCCUGACAAGGAGAGGUAGCUUCGGCCAUCCGGCGAAGGAGGAGCCCGCGGUACAUUAGCUAGUUGGUGAGGUAAAGGCCCACCAAGGCGACGAUGUAUAGCUGGUCUGAGAGGAUGAUCAGCCACACUGGGACUGAGACACGGCCCAGACUCCUACGGGAGGCAGCAGUCGGGAAUCUUGCACAAUGGGCGAAAGCCUGAUGCAGCAACGCCAUGUGAGCGACGAAGGCCCUAGGGUCGUAAAGCUCUGUUGUUAGGGACGAAGGGCGAAGGGUUAAUAGCCCUUAGCCUGACGGUACCUUUCGAGGAAGCCCCGGCUAACUACGUGCCAGCCGCCGCCGUAAUAC